AUUGAACGCUGGCGGCAUGCUUUACACAUGCAAGUCGAACGGUAACAGCACUUCGGUGGCUGACGAGUGGCGCACGGGUGAGUAAUACAUCGGAACGUGCCUAGUAGUGGGGGAUAACUACUCGAAAGAGUAGCUAAUACCGCAUGAGAUCUAAGGAUGAAAGCAGGGGACCUUCGGGCCUUGCACUACUAGAGCGGCUGAUGGCAGAUUAGGUAGUUGGUGGGAUAAAAGCUUACCAAGCCGACGAUCUGUAGCUGGUCUGAGAGGACGACCAGCCACACUGGGACUGAGACACGGCCCAGACUCCUACGGGAGGCAGCAGUGGGGAAUUUUGGACAAUGGGCGCAAGCCUGAUCCAGCAAUGCCGCGUGCAGGAUGAAGGCCUUCGGGUUGUAAACUGCUUUUGUACGGAACGAAAAGCCCUCUUCUAAUACAGGAGGGUCAUGACGGUACCGUAAGAAUAAGCACCGGCUAACUACGUG
rnacentral:rRNA from 1 species